rnacentral:lncRNA from 1 species
CUUUAAUAUUUGAUAUUUGGGGAAGGAGGCGCUGGACACACUGAACGCCUAAUAUAACUAAGCCCGUGACCGACCGCAAGGUUAGUUGUGAGCUUGCCGUGGUGCAGUCAAGUUGUACGUGGUUUUUAAGAGCGUGUUUAUAAAAAUUGACGUCAGUUUUCACCUCUGUUUUGCACCUAAACGUUUUAAUUUGUCUACGACAUUAAGUGAUUUUAGUCUGCCAUAGAGUACUUAAAAUAUAACAUGCCUCGUGUCAGAAAUAAGGGGAUACGGUCGCAAUGGAGCAAUCAACAGCUAGAAUCCGCAAUUGCAGCAGUAAUGAAUGGAAUGUCAUACAAUGCGGCAAGUCAAAGGUAUAAUAUUUCUAGACGCACUUUGAAACGCUAUGUAGAAAAAAAUAGUACCAAAAAG